rnacentral:rRNA from 1 species
GACGAACGCUGGCGGCGUGCUUAACACAUGCAAGUCGAACGAUGAAGCCGGAGCUUGCUCUGGUGAAUUAGUGGCGAACGGGUGAGUAACACGUGAGUAACCUGCCCUUGACUCUGGGAUAACUGCUAGAAAUGGUAGCUAAUACCGGAUACGACCCUCGGAGGCAUCUCCAGGGGGUGGAAAGAAUUUCGGUCAAGGAUGGACUCGCGGCCUAUCAGCUAGUUGGUGAGGUAACGGCUCACCAAGGCGACGACGGGUAGCUGGUCUGAGAGGAUGACCAGCCAGACUGGAACUGAGACACGGUCCAGACUCCUACGGGAGGCAGCAGUAAGGAAUCUUCCACAAUGGGGGCAACCCUGAUGGAGCAACGCCGCGUGCAGGAUGAAGGCCCUCGGGUCGUAAACUGCUUUUAUGAGUGAAGAAUAUGACGGUAACUCAUGGAUAAGGGUCGGCUAACUACGUGCCAGCCGCCGCGGUAA